CCAUAAUUCAGGGCCCUAAAAGAUCUCCACGAACCACCGCUCCAUCCCACCUUCCUACUUCCCCGUGACAUGGAUUCUUUCCACCUGAGAUCUAUGCAUCGCCGGCGGCGGCUUUCUAUGCGACCUCUGUGAUGCCGCUUUCGCACGUGCUCCGCCGCCGUGACACUCUCUCUAGCGUCGGCUUCCAUCCUGAGCGUUGAGGACGCCGCAGACGCAGCAGGAUGAAGGCGCGGACUGCCCGUCCCCGACACCUGUCCUUCGGCAUGUUGAUACCCCGACGCCCAACCGUCUUGCUCGCGACGUAAAGCAGCGUUGAUUCAAGAUGAUGUGUGGAUAAUGAACACCACCGGUUCACAUCAAGGGCUGAAGCCGACAUCUCGAAGACCAACCUGCGUCUGGCUGACACCAUCUACAAGAACGACUACUUCCUUUGUCAAUCGCACCUGGGUAUACAAUCAGACAUUCACUUGCUUGCUUGCUUGAGCUCUUCGGUUUAAAUCCCGAUAUUUAGUUCACAAAGAUCUGCGUGGAAUCGUUCCAUCAUCCCAGAUUAUCAUUGCAUGUAUGCAGGCAAUCUUUUUAUUUUCCUGCGAGCUUCCGUUGUCUUGGAUGGAACUCUGAAUCUGCCUGACAGCGAUUUUCUAUUAUAUACACUUCUUAUUGUUUUUUGUGCUUGAGAGUAAUCACGUUGAAAUGGUCUACUUGUUAAUUACCUGAAUAUUUUAUCCAGAAUUUGAUUGAUCAUGCAGGUGUCAGACCUUAGUAGGCUGGGUGCACAUCGGCCCAUGAUGUUUAGUUGGUUAUAACUAUUUUUGAUGUGUCAAGGUUCUAAACUUACCUCAAAGUUUAUACCUUCAUGUUGCAUACUGGCCUGCAUCACCCUAUUUUAUUUGUCAGACGACAUGUUUGCAGGCUUGCGUACAUUUUCUUUUGACAUCUGCUAAAUCUUUCUUACCAGUUCAUUCUUGUCUUGAUGGUUGUCUUACCGAUAGUCAUGUUAUAGCAUGCAUUUGAAACAAAUGUGCAGGUUGUGUAAGUUUCAACAUCUAAAACUAGGGCGAAAGGGCAAACCAAGAUCUUCACUUGACUAUACUGUGCCAUCUUCUCACAAAGCUUGCCAUCAUAGUGUACAUUUGUUUUGUUCCUGGACUGAACCUACAUACAUUACAUGAUUUUCCUAAUAACUGUCAAAUCUGUCAUGAAGCUUGUCAUCAGCGUACUUUUUUCUCUUUCAUGAAAACAACAUAUUCUGCUAGAAAGGUAAAAUUAAUUAUUACAAAAUGAUUAAAAUUAAUUGAUAACAAAAUAACUGACUCUAUUAUGCAAUCAACUAAAUUCUAUACAAGAACAUGGUUUGUCAAUAUGAUCAUGGUUGGUCAAUUUUCAUGACACUAUUUCCCUCUUUUGUGGUGGCAAAUAUAAUGCAUAUGAUCGUUUGGUAAUACAGUGAGAUGAAUAGAUUGGAUGCACAAUGAUAGAGAUCAAAUAUUAUUGGAGGCAUUGUCUUCCCCCAAAAAUUUGAAGUAUGUGUUUGGAUGGGGGUGUGGGGGUGAAGCAGGAAAUUGUGAGCCAGAUGGAUCAUUGACAGAGGUGAUGAGUUUGGAUUAGAGCGGUGGAGAAAUGACAGAACGAAGGAGGAGUGAGACACCAAUUGGUGUUGAACCAAUAGAAUAGGUAGGCCCCGCUGCAACGCACGGGCAAUUAGCUAGUAAGGAGUAAAGGAGAAAGAUAUUCCAGUCAAUUGUAUUUGUUUUUAUUUUCUUUCAACCCCUCCCGUUGCCACUGACCAGUGGGUCUCUUGGGUCAGUCCAGCAUCGCAGGGACACACCAUGCGUGCCCGCAGACCCCUGCCCCUUCACCUUAUCUCCUACUCCACCCCAAUACUUCCCUCCUCACUUCAUUUCCUUUUCUCUUGGAUCCCCUUUCUCAGUCCAGCUCGCCGGGGACGCUGUUUGUUACAACGCCAGCCACAGGAAUCGGCAGGAUACGUCCGCCCUCGUUCUGGAUCGACGUCAACGCCUCCGGCUCCGACAUGCACGCCCGCUGGCCGUCGCCGUGAACCACCUCGUUUUUCCAGUGUGUUAUUUGCUCGUAGGUAGCUCCCCUAGCUCCAUUGUUGCUCCAACUUACCUUUAAUGGUGAUUCUGGGCGCUGGCGUGCAGGAACCUCUUGGACCGAGGCCCCCUUCCUCUGUUCUGCCGGCCACCGCUGUGAUGUCGUCGCGGUCAUCCUCCUCACCAAACAACGCCAGGGACCAUGACGGGCUACGCGUUGUCCACGUCUCCUCUGGACCACGGAUUCGAAGCCGCAGGUUCCUCCUGCUUCUUCCUCGACGUUGACCGCCAUUGUCGCUGUCCGGAGCUCGUUGCUCCGCUCCAUCGGACCUUGCCACUAACAGCAGGGUGAGAAAUAGCCUUUGCAUGUUGUUUGCUGCUUGAUGUCGUUGGUUGUGUGGCUACUGUCACUGCUUUGCUGCAUGCUGACCUGCCUGUAGAUAAGAAAAACAGAGAUUGAUUUGCUAUGAAAAAAGAUGGCCAUAUCCAGUACUGCUUAAUUUACUUGCUCGUCACACUUUCAGACUAAGGCUGCGACUUCCCUGUGUAAUUUCUUUUCACUCUAACAAUUAUCAGGAAAAUACAGAAAAAUGCUCAACCUGCUGAACUUGUAAAAUCCAUAGCAAAAUCAUUCUAGUUCGGUUUGGAGUAGUACUGUAUGUAUCUGGAUGCUUUAACAUGUAAUUUAGCAAUAGAGACAUAUAAGCCUAGUCAGUAUUAUUACUUAGAACUGAAAGAUGAUGUACUUUCACAAAAUGUCUCUAAAUCUUUAAAAAUUCAUAACUUGCAUUCUAGGACUCCAGGAAAAUUUUAUUGCCAAUUUCAAUAGCUUCAUUUUUGACUUUCUGCAUGACAUCGCAUACAAUUCGUGCAAUGUACACAUUUUGGAAAUUCAUGAAUAUUGAUUUUCCUCCAUUUGGUUCUUUUCUGGGGUUUCUUAAUCAUUUCAAUAGAGUCCGACAAUGAAGGGUAUUACAAGUUCGGCCUGCAGCUUCAUCAACACGUUGACCAGCAAGGCAAGCAUCUGCUUGUUGACCCUAUCUUAUGUUUUAAUUAUGUUGAAGGAUUAUACUAUCUUGGUGUUGUCCUUGUUGGUUACCAUGUCACACCUUUCUUUGCAAUAUCCAUGUUUAGCUUUGUUUUACAUGGCCAGGGCUUCCUUGUUGUUUAUGAUCAGCGGGUCAUGACAUAUAUUAACAUUGCCUUAGCCAUGAACCUAGUGAACAGCUCAACCCAGUCCAUAUGAAUCGCUAUGAAAAAGUAACUCAAAAGGUUAGGUAUAGGCUAUAAACCAGACAUAUAUUAAGAAUGGUGAUUAACAAAUACUCCCUCCGUUCCUAAAUAUAAGUCUUUUUAGAGAUUUCAAUACGUACUACACACGGAUGUAUAUAAACAUAGUUUAGAGGAGACGAUGCGAACAUAGAUAGAUAUAUCUACAACUACACCAAAUCAAGUGGAUUUAAUUCUCUAUAUGUAUAGAUACACGAAAUUAAAUGUAUAGAUACACGAACCUAGAGCAUGGAAGAGCUACUGCCUUGCUUUCUUUGCAGAGCCGACGCAUUGGCAUCAGCACUAGACCUAUGAUGCAUUGAUUAGCAGAAAUAUCAAUGUAUAGAUACAUGAACCUAGAGCAUGGAAGAGCUACUGCCUUGCUUUCUUUGCAGAGCCGACGCAUUGGCAUCAGCAUUAGACCUAUGAUGCAUUGAUUAGCAGAAAUAUCAACCAAGUGAUAAUUUGAUUUUUGGUGUAAACAACGUAGAGGCAUAUAAUGAAAUAAAAAGAACAAGGACAUAAGGGUUUGCAAUAGCAAACAGAGGACAACAUAAAUGGCUGAACGCUGAAAGCUGAAAGCACAGUUCAUCUAAUUAGUUGGCUAAUUAGCUUGUAUGUAUCAUUGAGAAACAUAAAAGUCUAGUUAACUUGUAUGUAUCAGUGAGCAACAGUAAGGAUUGGCUGCACAUGCGACAACAAACAAAUGAGAGCAACAUUAAACAUGAAAUAGAUCACCUACUUAACCCUGAAAGUAAAAGUUAUUUACAUUACAUAGUUAAUCAACUUACAUGCAGCAGUGAGAAAAAAGAAAGGAUGAUCAAAUAGCAUGUAUCAGUGAAGAAGAAGAGGCAUUAUUUCUGUUGUAAAAACGAAGACAUGGUCCACUGGAUUUUAAGAAACACAUGCUAAAGGAACAACAAUAGUUGUCGCAUUAAAUUCAUUAGCGCGCUCUCUCUCUCUCUCUCUCACACACACACACACACGCACGCACGCACGCACGCACGCACACACACGCACACACACACACGCGCGCACGCGCACAUCUUAUAUCAAGCUAGUUAAAUGAGAUGGUUAUGUAAAUCUUGUUUAGUUUCCUACCAUGAGAUGGUUAUGUAAAUCAAGCAUGUAUUGUGCAGAAGGAAAAAAAACAAAAUGGGUAUCAAACAACAUUUUCUAUGGAUGCAGGGUCAACAACAUCUCUAGUAGAAGCAGUUCCUUCAGCCUGGGUAGCAGCCUUGGCCAUAGACUCAGGUGGUGCAGCUCCCUUGGUCUUGGAAGGCGAAGCAAAGAGUUUGCAAUGAGCACUCUUAGGGCAUGGUGAUUUGCUGCAUUUGAACAUAAAAUUAUAUUAGGUGUUAGGAAAGAAACAUAGAUUGCAGAAUGUAGCAGAGCAGGAAGGUAGGUUCAAGACCUAGGUGUUUAACCACAAGAGCCUGUCCCUUUCCAUCCAGUGUAGAUAUAGGGGUGUUCAUCUGGUACAUAUGCAAUGUAACAACCAGAUCAUGGUAAGAAGAAAGUAGAGAGGGAAGAAGUAAUGAUCACACCUCAUCCAGAGCCGCUCGCCAGGUGAGGAUAAACCAUGUGAGUUGUGUACAUCCUUUGAUGAGGGCGUGCAUGGUGGGACCAUAGGAAAAUAUGUGAGAACAGGCAAUGCCUCGCCAUAACUUUCAACAGAAGAUGACGCUCCAGAAGCAUGUGAAGUAGCACCAAAUCCCAAAGGGACCUAGCUUAGGCUUGAAGGCAUGAUUAAUCCUGAUAACCUGGAAGGACAGCUGCAUGCUUGUAGGCUGAAAGCUUUUGCUGGAAAUAGAAACCACAAGGCUGAACUUUUGGUUAACAACGAGGGCAAUUUCAACAGUAAUAGGCACAUCAACUAAAAAUGAAUGGAAAUAGGGUAUCGAUGGGAAAGACAUAGAAAGAGAACAUACCUAGCAUGGAAAUAAUUGAUCUGAGUCAAGUCAUCAUCAAUAUACCAACGGCAUGCAGAGCUACCAAUCAGUCCUUUAACUCCUAUCGACGGACACAAUGAGGAGAUAUAGACAUGUCAUAGAAACAUAAUCAUGUUUGCAGGUAUUAAAACUUGAAGCCAUUCAACUUCCUAAAUUAACACUACAAUCAAACAAAGGAUAUGGUUAACUCAUUCUGAAAGCCAACAGCUCAAUUACAAAAUCAUCAAGGAUCAUGAAAAAAUUAUGUUUCGUGCGCACUCAUCUUUUCAUUGUGAGAAGUUGGCUCGUCUCACAUAGCCAAGUACAACACUCUCCCUCCUAACUUAUAUUCCAUGAAUAUAUAAGCAUAACUAAUAUCAUACAGUAGUAGUGGGAUUAAUAAACAAAUUCAGUUUCCUUAUUCUCUAAUUCGAACGAAUUGCAUAUAGUGGCCAUAAUCAGAUUUCACAAAUAAAACUUCAACAAACAAUGGUUAAUUAGUACCGAACCAAUUUUAUCUGGUGCAAUGAUACAAAUUUGUUAGCUUGCAUACAUUAACUCUUACGUGAUGAAAAUGCAAUUCUGCUGGGUAGUAAGUACCUCACGAGGAUCUGCCACACUGUCAUAGCGUUCGGCCAAGAUGAUGGAGAUGGUUGGCAUGGCAAAGGUGUAGGAGCCACCCAUCAUGACGGGAGUGAAGACACGAAGAAUGUUUGCAGUAAGGUGUUUAUGCCGGUGAUGAAGAAGAGUGUCUGGAUUACCCGAGCUUUCUCCUCCUGGCGGAAUUAAUUCAGUGAGUGUCUAUCAUUUAUAUGUGCGGCAAAUUCAGUGGAGCUUACUACUUCAGAGAUCAGAUUCAUGAUUAGUACUUGAAGACUCACAUUUCCACCUCCCAUUUGAGGAACAAGCAUGCUUGGUAUGAUGACGGUGGUGCCCAACAUGACCAAAUUCAGUGGAGCUUAGCACUUCUUCAGAGAUAUGCAGGGUCAAGAAAGGGAGAGAAAUUAAUGUCCACCACUGGAAGAGACUGUAUUUGAUACAUAUAACAAUCGAGCAUGUUUUUGGAACACCAACUGGACCAUUGAAUAAACAUACACCAAGCAAAGAAAAGGAGGAAUCAUGAUGGCAUCAUUAAAAGAGCAGGUGAAAUGGACACAACUGCAGAACUACAUGUCAAAUGAGAAGAUGCAAUAUUUAAUAUAUCAAUUAGGCAUAGUAAUUCAAAUAGAAAAGAGUAAUCAGGAAUGAUCUAAGUAUAUGUUGUAGACUUGCUUCUGACAAUGUUAUAUGAAGUCAGUUUUCAGCAUAUGUUCCAAAUAAUUGAAAGCAUUAUUAUCGACAAGUCAGUAUCAUUAGGAACUUUGUAUCAAAUAAUGGUGUAUGAAAAAAAAAAUAGCUGGACCAUAAUUUAAAUUUGUACGAACCGCAUUAAUUUCUACACUGAACCCAGAUUUAGAGAACACUUUCUGCUGCAUUCAAGUUGUUAGGUGAACAUUGGCAGCUCCAUGUUUUUAAGCUUAUAUGCACAUAUGUAGGUUAAGGUUCAAAUGUUUUCUUGGUAUGGGGCAAACCUCUGGAUUUUUUUAAGAAAUCAUGAUACAAACUAUUUCUGCAUUUAUGAAAAUGAAUAUUGUAAUGCAGAAGCCGAAUAUCUGCUUCAUGAAGUCACUCGAUACCACCUCCAGGUAGAGAAGAAGAAUUGGCCAGUGGACCAUGCCCUGCAGAUCCAACUUCAACCUCUUUACCCGUCUGCUCGUCAUAUGCUAUAUUUCUGAGCAUCAGCCAUUAGUAAAAAAGAGAUCAUAUGAUGAAAACUUGAGUUAUGUUAAGAAGGACAGAAAAAGGUUAAUGGCUUACCCAAAGCAUAGUAGUGCAGACUGUAUAGCCCAACUUUUUGCUCCCAGAAAAGUCUUGUAGCAUGAGAAACUUUGUAUUAGCAGCUGGCAUGGCAUCAAAACACAAAGAUCUGGAAACAAGUAGAAAAUGGACACCAAAAGAAGACGCUAAACUUGAUUUUAGCCACAUGAUAUACAAAACAAUUUGGCACUCUAAUCCAUAAAAGAGAACAUCACCAUUUUCGACAUUUUUCACACCUGACCCAAGCACAAAGAUAUUUUCUAAUAAAUACCAACAUAUGUUUUAAGCCAAUCAUGAUAAGCAAGACAAAUGAACCUGAUCUUGUACAUAAACUGAAUACUUUUUUAGCACACACUAUCUAGCAAAACUAAACUACACAAAUAGUAUUAGUUUCAAAAUGUAUUAUCAUUAUGUCACCAUACACAGCCCAUUGAUUAACUAUCACAUUAUGCAUACACACAAAUUAAUUAAUAGGAUUUUGUUCUUUGCCAAUAGAGAAACUAACAGGAACAAGUCGCCCAAUCCAUCAAUGUAUUGGCUUGCUCUUUUCCUUGUGCUUCCUUUGUCGAUCACUCACUGCAAAAAUAAGACAUGUUAACUGAAAACCAUGUACGCCAAGCCCGUUUGGACUCCUUUGCAUGUGUUUCUUAAAAUUGUCUGAAUAUCACUGCAAUUUCAUUGAUGUCAAGGGUCCUCUCAAACAUAAUUGUUAAAUUCAAAACAUCAAACUGUAAAACCUCCUCCUGAAUAUCACCAAAUAAAGAAGUGAAUCCCUAGCAUCAGAUUGCAGGCUUGACAUGACAUUGGCCUAGUAGAGCAAUUGUUGCUAGCUGCAACUUGUUUCGUUUGAUAAUACAUUUUGACUUGCCGUCCUAUAUAUCGGUCUUGGGCACUUAAGUGUCGUGUUGUGACAUGUCUGUUUCACUAAGCCUGUUCCAACUCAGGUUCAUCCUCCACUUCCCUUUGGAGAUUAUUGCCUAGGAUAUGGAAGCCGGUUUAUUUGCCGGGGCUAAUUGCAUUCUCCAUAUGUUCUACCCGUUCAUCCCUUUGCAAUAGCUAAUUUGCAAAUUAAGUUUCGGACUCAGGUAGCUCAUUAUGUUGUAUUGCAACUAAAUAAAGAUUCACAUGGGCACACUCCUUAACCUCCACAUACUUGCUGCACACCUCAGGGUCUUGCUUACCAGAACUGAGCUCUUUGAAUCCACGACGCCUGAACAGUAAACACAAUCCGAUGCACACAGCUCAUUAUGUAGUUCUAUUAAAUUAUACCACCACCAGAAAUAAUGAGGUUAAUAGCAAGGAUAGCAAGCUUACUGAGCUGCCAGGAACAAGAUGGCAGUAGUUCUUGGUGACGAUCCGAAUGAGCUCCUCGCCCUUGAUGGGGAAGCCAGAGGUCUGGUGCGUGUUGCCAUCACCUCUGCUGCCAGCAUGUCCUUCUCCUGUAGGGUUCGAUUUGGGCGGAUCAAAAUGUCGAACACCUUAUGUGCAGACAUCACGCUCGGAAACGGGGACGAGCGGGGUGUGGUGUCGAUUUGGGCAAGCUCGUCGCUGAUCACUAACUUCCUCAUGCCCUUCUCCUCUACUUCUCUAGACACUAAUGUGGCAUCCUGGUGCCUUGUGGUCGCAGUCGAGGCCCUCAUCAUGGUGCUACUAUCAGCAUCGGUCGUCGAUGUAUGCGGAGCCAUGAAAUUUGUACAGCAAAGAGGAGGGGGAGAGGGGGGGAGGGAUGGGUGCCUUACCGCCCUCGACCGGCGCCGUUUGUACAGCCACGCCGCCAGCAAGGUUGAGGGCAAAGAUGCUGCCGGCAUGGACCUCGUCAAGCUCCUGGCAUCCAGUCACCGUUGUCGCUCCCAUGCUCUCUGCCGACGCCGCCAUGUUUCUCCCAGAGCUCGGUGGUAGGCAGAGGGGCCGCUGCCACCCCUCUCCCUGGGCGCCAUCUCCUCCCCCAUCGGGCGGCGCCUGCUCCUCGUUUCUUCCACUCCUGGGAGGCCAGAUCCGCGGGCUCGCUGCUGUUCAGCCGGAGAAGAACGAGAUGGAGCAGAUGUUGGCCAGGAGGUGGCCCGGGGGAGAGCAGAGGAGGAGAAAAGGGAAGGGGAGGAGGCGGCGCAGUGGAGACCAUGGGAGGAGGGGAGCAGGGCUCGAGCGGAGGGAUUGGCUGCUUGGAGAUGAAUGGGAUUGGGGGCUAGGUUUUCACCUCGCACUACGAUUCAUACCCUUUCUCACCCAGGACGCACACGGGACACACCAGUACACCGGGUCCAUGGACAUUUAAGGCCCACCUGUCACGGACGGAAAAGCAAAAUAAAUGAGUCAUAGAGGACCAACGGCCAUGACUUUGACAGCAGCGUAAAAAUCCUUGUUGGUGUGAAAUCGUGUGAAUGAAAACGAUCGUGCGACGCAAAGGCCUCCGGUGGGCGGGUAGCCUAGCAGGAUUUAUAUGUUCAAUGAGGGACCUGCUAUGUGUAAAAUAAGUGUCUACGUACAACAAACUGGCCCAUAGAGAACCUAUUUUGCAGUCUCUGGACCUGAACCCUUGCUGCUCCCUCUCUCUCUGAAUUUUUUGUAAGUUGAGAUGUGUAAAACUUUGUAAUGUUCAGAUUCUAAGAGUGCGUGCAACCUGCUAUAUGUUUAGUUGGUUUGCCGUGUGCUUCCGCAUUGCAUUGGUGCCGCUCGAACCCUGCUCGUGUCUGGACGCGUGUGCGUCUGGGUCGUCGUGGGUACCCAGCUAGGUCAUCAUGUCUCCUUUUAUGCCGCAUAGGAAUUUCCAUAAUGUUAUGGCAGGUUACUGCCCCUAUAACUGCUAGCAUCUGGACACCCUGGCUGACUGUUUAGUACUCCCUCCGUCCCAUAAUAUAAGAGCGUUUUUGACACUAAACUAGUGUAAAAAACACUCUUAUAUUAUGGGACAGAGGGAGUAGCUGCAAAUGUUCCGGCGUGGUUUAGCUUGCUUUAUGUAGCGCAGAGGGUUUCAGAUUGCUUUCUAUGAUGUGAUGGUGAUUGCUUUCUAUUGACUCAUUGGAGCAAAAUGAUUCCAUCCAUCAGCUAAGAGAAAAAGGGUUCAAUUCAUCAUCUGAGGUAAAUCAUUUCCUAAAUUAAGUUCUCCAUAUUAGAAUUCUUGUACUCUUAACACAAUUGGCAAAAUAAGUUCCGACUCCGCUGUUAUUCUUAACUGGCAUCCUAACUUUUGACCAUGUACAUGUGCAUCUUCCUUUUAUGAUGAUAUAAAGAUGUUUUUAAUUUUCUCAUAUCAUAGGUAUAAUAAUUCAGAGUAUUUACAUGAUUACAGGACCCCCAUAUAUUCUUAAUUAUGAAUGCAGUAGUUAUAUAUUCUUUAUCUAUUAUAGAUGAAUUCAAGAAGCUAUUAUCACCGUUUGCGAUCUCAUCAUUUUCCAUGAUCAGUCAAUAGCUAAUCGUAUUUAUUUCUUCAUUUCUUCUUUUGGGUCGGCAGGUAAGCUAAUUAGGCUAUUUUCCCUGUUAUCUAUUUCAGCAACUGGAUUCUUUAAAGGAUUUCAACAGAGUUCAUUGUGGGAACCUGAACCCUACUACCAUGUCUCCACUUUCAUGCAGUGGGCUUGACUGGAUCAUAAAGUUUUCUCGCCGAAGAUUCCCUACGCCACCAGCUACUACCCUGAUCCUCUCCCACCAUGGCACAACAAGGCACAUCUUCCUCUCAUGUGAAAGUAACUGAAGGCCAUCCCACCUGACAUCCAUGGAGCUAAUUUCCAUUUCGGAAUUAAGUUUAUUCAGGUAGACGUCCAGUGGUUAAGACUCUGUGCAGUCAACCAUGGCUUUGCGAGAGGACCAAGACAAGAGACUAAUGCUUCGCUGAGAAACAACAGACGCUGGAUCAUUGACUUAGACAGUCACCAUGCACCAAGUCGGUUCCUACCGGGUUACAAGUGUUGUCUUCCUCACGUGUCUUUGAGAAAUCCUAAUGUUGGAUUAGUGGUCUCAGUGUUCCCUUUUGUAUCUGUUUGCCGCCUCUAUACCUCUAUCUCUUUUUGUACCACUUUCAUUGCAGUUAUGGAUAUAACAUUUGAUCGCUUAAUGGCUAAUAAAGUUGUCGGACAUAAGGUUGGACUGAUUUGAGUUGUUUUAAUCUGAUGAAAAUGCCCAUUGGAUUGUUGAA